GUCCCCGUAGCUUAAUGAUAAAAGCAUGGCACUGAAGAUGCCAAGAUGUUGCUGCACGCAUCCGAGGACA
rnacentral:tRNA from 1 species